rnacentral:rRNA from 1 species
UGAGGAAUCUUCCGCAAUGGGCGAAAGCCUGACGGAGCGACACCGCGUGGAGGAUGAAACCAUUUUUUGGCGUAAACUCCUGUUCUGAGGGACGAAAUUUUUGACGGUACCUCAGGAGAAAGCACCGGCUAAUUCUGUGCCAGCAGCCGCGGUAAGACAGAAGGUGCAAGCGUUACUCGGAAUUACUGGGCGUAAAGCGUCCGCAGGUGCUCUGCUAAGUCUGGUGUCAAAUGGCGAAGCUCAACUUCGUCAGCGCGCUGGAAACUAGCAGGGUUGAGUCAUUCAGAGGCAUCUGGAAUAUCGUGUGUAGGGGUAAAAUCCGUUGAUCCACGAUAGAACGCCAAAAGCGAAGGCAGGAUGCUAGGAAUGUACUGACACUCAGGGACGAAAGCGUGGGGAGCAAACCGG